ensembl:snoRNA SNORA70 Small nucleolar RNA SNORA70
CUGCAGCCAAUUAAGAUGACCGUGCUGCCCUCCCCAUGGUGCCCGGUGUGCAGUGGCUGCAAACAGCAGCCCCCUGGGUAGUGCAUGCAGCCUGUUGCUUGUACAGGCUGCCCUAAGCUUUCCCAAGUAUGCCAGUC